rnacentral:rRNA from 1 species
UUUCCUACGGGAGGCAGCAGUAGGGAAUCUUCCGCAAUGGACGAAAGUCUGACGGAGCAACGCCGCGUGAGUGAAGAAGGUUUUCGGAUCGUAAAACUCUGUUGUCAGAGAAGAACAAGUUGGAGAGUAUUCCUCCAGCCUGUGAGAUCUGACCAGAAGCCACGCAAUACGG